UACGGAGGGGGCGAGCGUUAUUCGGAAUUAUUGGGCGUAAAGGGCGCGUAGGCGGCUUGAUAAGUCAAAGGUGAAAUCCCUCGGCUCAACUGAGGAACUGCCUUUGAAACUGUCUGGCUUGAGGCCGGGAGGGGGUAGCGGAAUUCCCAGUGUAGCGGUGAAAUGCGUAGAUAUUGGGAGGAACACCGGUGGCGAAGGCGACUACCUGGCCUGUUCUUGACGCUGAGGCGCGAAAGCUGGGGGGGGCAAACGGG
rnacentral:rRNA from 1 species